UGACUCUAUACCUGUAGUUUUUGGUGUGACAAGAGAUCCCUUCAUUGUUUUUUCAUCUAAUCUCUUUGCCAUUUUAGAUAAAGUCUACGAUCUCUAUAUACACUGAUUUCAGAAGACAGAAAGCAUGGCAGAAUUGGAGUAUCUACAGGCAAUUGUUCAAGAUGGAUAAACAAGAGGAGCAACUAUGCAAAUUUCAUCUUCAUGUCAACUUUUGUGUUUCUUUCCAACAAGUAUUAACUA